rnacentral:rRNA from 1 species
CCCUUAGAUGUUCUGGGCCGCACACGCGCUACACUGAAGGAGGCAGCGUGUACUCCUGGAUCGAAAGAUUUGGGUAACCCGCGAAUCUCCUUCGUGCUAGGGAUUGAGGUUUGCAAUUAUCCUUCAUGAACGAGAAAUUCCCAGUAAGUGCAAGUCAUAAGCUUGCGCUGACUACGUCCCUGCCCUUUGUACACACCGCCCGUCGCUACUACCGAUUGAAUGAUUUAGUGAGGACUUCGGACUGGGACCGAUGCGGCUUUCGGGCUGCGUCGGUAUUCUGGAAAGAUGUCCAAACUGUAUCAUUUAGAGGAAGUAAAAGUCGUANCA